CAGGCAUCCCCGGGUCUCCCCCUCCUUCCAAGGGCAGGGCUUUGUGUAUAUGUUUCUAUCUCUGUCUCUAUGCCUUUCUGUGAGUGUCUGAGGGAAGGGACCAAAGGACACAAGGUGGAGGGGGCUGGGAUGAGCAAAGGGGCCAGGAAAAGAGAGAGAGGCUGGAGCUACAAGAAACUUACAUCCUCCUUAUGUUAG
rnacentral:lncRNA from 1 species